rnacentral:rRNA from 1 species
AGCAGCCGCGGUAAUUCCAGCUCCAAUAGCGUAUAUUAAAGUUGUUGCAGUUAAAAAGCUCGUAGUUGAAUUUCGAGACCGGUUUACUGGUCGUGCUUUUGUACGUACUGGUAUUAUUGGUUUCUCCUUUCUGACGAAUCAUAAUGCCAUUAAUUUGGUGUUUUAGGGAAUCAGGACUGUUACUUUGAAAAAAUUAGAGUGUUUAAAGCAGGCUCACGCUUGAAUACAUUAGCAUGGAAUAACGAAAUAGGACGUUUGAUUUUAUUUUGUUGGUUUCUAGGAUCGACGUAAUGAUUAAUAGGGAUAGUUGGGGGCAUUAGUAUUCAAUUGUCAGAGGUGAAAUUCUUGGAUUUAUUGAAGACUAACUACUGCGAAAGCAUUUGCCAAGGAUGUUUUCAUUAAUCAAGAACGAAAGUUAGGGGAUCGAAGACGAUCAGAUACCGUCGUAGUCUUAACCAUAAACUAUGCCGACUAGGGAUCGGAUGAUGUUAAUUUUUAAUGUACUCAUUCGGCGCCUUAC